AUUUUUAAGAUUGCAGUAAUAGAAAAAAUUAAUUCUGAUUCUGCUAAGUUGCUAAUUGAUUGUAAUGAUUAUGAUGUGACGAUUCAGAAGAAAAACGAUGUAGUACGAAUAAAACCGUGAAUAUUUCCUCCAAUUGAAGAAGAUGUUUCAUCGUUCAGCUGUGGCCGCAUAUUCACGAGGAAUGACUAUCACCUGAAGCAGAAACUUACUGGAGAGAAGCAGUAUGAGUGCCCACUCUGCAGCUUCUUGGGCACACAGGUCAUCUCUUACUGUACACAUUAGUGCAAAGUCUGCAACAAGAAAUUGGGGUAUAAAGUCAGUUUGUAGGAGCACAUGUCUACUCUUCCAGAUUGCUGAAUUGUGAAAGAAAGUAGAUUCUACCAGAUUGAUAAACUAUGAAAAAGCACUAACCACCCUAAGAAGAUUACACCAGAAUAAGUGGUUGCUCUAAAAGACCAGUUUAUAAAUAAUAAAAUUAAUUUAAUUAUAUUUAAAUAACAGCAUGCACAGUGUUGCCACUGUGUUAGUUCUAAUUCACUCUCUUAUGAUAUAGAUAUUAUAGUCUAUGAACAUGUACAACUAAUUAUUGUAACAUCACACAAGGUGAGUCAUUAUUUAAUGUACUCUAUGCUGCAUUGGUAUAUUGAUUUGUCCCCAAGUGAUAGGUAAAGGACUGUGACAAACUGCCAUAAGAUAACAAGUUAAUUAUAUGAAAUACUGUCAAUCUCUAUUUUUUCAUGUUUCUUAUUAUUUAAAAUGCAUAUUUACAGAUGUUUUUUUUUUUUUUU